rnacentral:rRNA from 1 species
UACGAAGGGUGCAAGCGUUUAAUCGGAAUUACUGGGCGUAAAGCGUGCGUAGGCGGUUAUUUAAGUCUGUUGUGAAAUCCCCGGGCUCAACCUGGGGAAUGGCAAUGGAUACUGGAUAGCUAGAGUAUGAUAGAGGAUGGUGGAAUUCCCGGUGUAGCGGUGAAAUGCGUAGAUAUUGGGAGGAACACCAGUGGCGAAGGCGGCCUCAG